rnacentral:rRNA from 1 species
GGUGUAGGUGGCUUGGUAAGUCGGAUGUGAAAGCCCAGGGCCCAACCCUGGAAUUGCAUUCGAAACUAUCAGGCUAGAGUCCCGGAGGGGAUGGCGGAAUUCCCGGUGUAGAGGUGAAAUUCGUAGAUAUCGGGAGGAACACCAGUGGCGAAGGCGGCCAUCUGGACGGUGACUGACACUCAGACCCGAAAGUGUGGGUAGCGAACAGGAUUAGAUACCCUGGUAGUCC